AUACAUUUUUCCUCUUGAAUUUUGCAUGAUCCUUGUUCUGAAAGCCCACAGUUUUGUUUUCUCCUCCAAAUUUUGCUCUUGAUUGGUUAGAUUAUUUGUCCUUACAAAAUCUAGGACUGAAAUCCUAUUUGUGGUCAUAUAUGGAGAACUUUCUUCUUGUUUUCUUACCUUCAUGAUGAUCAUGAAAAUUUCAGCCGUGUCUCUGAAUUCUCAAACCUCCUUGCAAAAAAAGCCAUGUUUUAUGAUCAAUAUUGCCUUGGGUAUCAGAUACUUAACAUUGUAAUUGAUGCGGACACUUUAAAUUUAGUUACAGUAGUGUCAUGAGUUCAGCUUUAGUUCAAAGAUGCAUAGCUUGACCGCCACCUGAAGCAUUCCAACUUGAGAUUGGCACUUCUUGAACUACUUCUAGUAGGCCACGUUGUCAUUGAUACCCACUUUUGUUAGCUCCAUUUGGCAUUCUCAGAGGCUUUGUCCUGAAUCAUGAGUUUCUUUAGAAUUUUUAACUCGGGUAUGGAUUCGUGCUUUAUGUUGUUCAUUGUGUUCUAGUGACAUAAUCCUGUACUGUGGCAUCUCUGUAAUUGAUCCUGUCUGGAAGUAAUGGGGAUGGAUCGUUGGUGAUGUAAUGUGGCUCCAAGAACUCCUGUGCCAACGGAGAAGGACCUCUUUUAUAAUGUCCCUCACAAUCUCCGCAUUAAUGAGACAUUAUCCUGCAAUCCAUCAAUUUGUUCCAUCAUUAUACUUAUAUCACACCCAUCAAUCACAUCUAUAUGGAAAAGGUGUAAGUAUUGGUACAUAGAUAUGAUCCUCUAACAAACCCAUGUGUUGUAUUAAUGACAAUGACUAGGCUUUUGGGUCGGGAGGCCUCUUGGGCUGCUAGCUAGAAGAUGGGAUUUUCAGUGGGCCAUUUAUGUAUAUGGCCUAAUUGGGCCAUAGUGAUAUCCUCAAAUGGAGAGUCUAGCAAGUCAACAUUGACUCUUUGAUGGCCCGUCCGAUCGGUGGACCAAUUGGGGGAGAAAAAGGGGAGCAGAACCCCGAGUACAUCCGUGAAAGCCGGGAGUAGGGCCCAUAGAGAGCCUGUCCGAUCGGCAAGGCCGAUCGGGGAGAGGGGAGCUAAGUCCAAAGUGAGCCUGAUUUACGCUGGGAGUGGGUCCCACAGAGAACAUAUCUGAUCGGCCCUGCGAAUCGGGAGCACGGGGAGCUGAGUCCCGAGUGAGCCCGGUUCGCGCCAGGAGUGGGGCCUAUAGGGAUCAUGUUUGAUUGACAAGGCUAAUCGAGAGUGCUGGGAGCUGAGUCCCGAGUGAGCCAGGCCCACCGGGAGUCAGGCCCACCGGGAGUGGGGCCCAUCGGGGCCUAUCCGAUUGGUAGGACCAAUCGGGUGUGUGGGGCCCUACUAGGCUCGCUAUUCGGCUUUCUGACCCACCGUGGGCUUUGACCAUCACCUAUGCAAGCUCAUUGACCCCUUUUCCUUCGGGCUAACCCUUUCCUUAUUUAUCGUAUCACAAAUCUCCCUUUCAAGUGUAGGAGGUUUAUGUCGACUGUCUAGACACUAUCUUAAUUAUGUCUAUCCGAUCAGCAAUUUGAUACCUUUCCAUCAAACUUACUUUUGCAGCUAUCUUCCUCAAAAAACGAGAUAUCAUGCCUCAUAAAUGCUUUGAUAAUGGGAAAUGAUAUACUUUGUAGGUGCUAUAAAUGCACGGUAAAGUGCGACGAUAUGCAUGAUGGUGUAUCAUGGUCAUGAUUCGUCUAUCACAUCUAUCAUAAAUGUCAAUUCCUUUAGUGCAGCCACGUGGCUCACCCACGCAGCUAGUCAUGAUAGGUUUGCUGGAUAGACAUUUGACUGUUUGAAUUCUGUUGUCUCUCUGAUCGAACGGUGGUGUUCUUUUAGUAUGUUUUUUUUCCUAGCAAUCAGACCGUGAGUUUAGAAAACCCUAAGGGUUUUAUAAAUCAUGGAGGCUUGAGUAAAUGCUCACGCGUUCAUCUUCUCCGGUUGCUCUUACUGUCUUUCACCGGCUACUUUCUCUUCAUUUUCGUUCCUCCUUCCGUUCUCACUCUCUUUCAUAAGUUUUUGGCCUUUUUUCUGUCUCCUUGCUCCGAUUCUAUGGUCCUUGAAAUUCCGCUUCAUAUCCCCUCCCUCUGGUACAUUGCCAUGCUCUCAGAUAUCAACGGCGGGGAGGUGGCUUAGCUCAGGCUAACCGACAAACUUUCAUAUCAUUAUUCCCAACACACUCGAUCGCCCCCGUCUUCCUCCAGGAUAUGUCAUGUUCUUUAGGGAUCAAUUCAUAGGAUUUCUCAAUAUUUUCACAUUCCCCUUCAACAGUUGGCUCCGAACUCAAUUCGAUUACUGUGUGGGGUAUUUUGUUUAAGUUGUGUCAAGCCCCUUUGUUUCUUUGUUUCUUUCAUUAUUUUUAUUAUCCCUAAAAAAGCAAAGGCAAGAGUUUUUAUUUUCCAAGUCCGACUGAAAGCAGUCUUUUUUGACAAGAUGUCUUCUUCUUAUAAAGGCUGAACAUCUUAUUAUUUCUUUGUUCUACCGGACUAUCCCUUUCAAUAGCUGGCCGAUUAGCAGAUGAAACUUCCACCUUCUCCGGAAUUGGAUGCUUUUCGCUAGGAGCCCAAUUAUCUGCCUGCUUCAGAGGCCCUAUCCUCGUUAUUAUCGUUAGCUGAAGUUCUCUUUUUAUUUUGCAGGUAGAAUCAUGUGAAAGGAGAUCGUAAGUAGCACAAUGAGGCUUGACGAAGUCAAGUUGAAUGGCCGUGGCAAAGCCAUUUUGGAUGAGCGAGAAAUCCAGCCGAUCGGCUGUGGUAACAAGGGAGCCGGUGGCGAGGUUGCGGGUAGCAGGGCAGCAAGUGAUGCAACCUCCAGUCCAGGGAAAAUGUUGUGGCCCUGACCUUCCAUGGUGCUUGUCAGAGACUCCUCCGAGUCCACAGAAUAUCACGAGCUGUUGAGGAUUCAUCAUAAAAGACGCCGACCGGCGACUUCGACUGACCGGACCUCUUUGAUGCGUCCCCCGUCCGUUCGGGGAGAAUCCUUUGUGGCUGUUCCGAGGGAAACAACUGGUGGAUGAGUCAAAUCUGACUCCGGUGGAUCUCCUAACGGCCAACAUAUAGCUGACCCUCCUUAGCCGAUUGACCCUAAAGUCACUCGGUUGAUUUCUACUCUUCCACCACAUCCAACCGAUAGUACACGGGCCAUCCUCUUCCAGGCCCAAUUCCUCUCGGGCGACAAGAACUCCCUUCAAAAUUAGUGUUACUUUUGCAAUUCCCUCCCAGAGGGGAUUGGUUUGCUCCCUUUUAUAUCCACCCUUGCUCAACCAUAUUGUGCGACUGAAGGGAAAAUUGGCCAAGGCUUAGGAGCAAUGCAUGGAUCGACCCAUUAACCGAAUGCCGACCGGAUUCACCAAUAUAUUCGCCUAGGACUAACUGCAUUUUGGCCUUCGGGGUUAUCCCUCUGCUAGAUUCUAUCGGACAUGGAUUACAUGAAUCAGGCCUUGAUGAAAAAGGUUAAGGAGUUAGAGUCUGCUUAGGUGUUGAAAUUUGCGUAUUAUGUUUCUACACCCCUAUGCGCAUCGAAAGUUUAAAAUUUAUUUUAUGAUUUAACAAUUAUAUCAAAGGAGUGUUCAUAUGAAUUUUAAAAACAAUCAUGAGCAUGAUCUUUAAUCUAAAUAUGCAUUACAAUCUAACAAUUCAAGUAAGAUCCUUAAAGCAUAAUAAAGAUAAACUAUCAAAUGAUUCAUCUAAUAUUAAUUUAAUAUUUUUAUUUAGACAUGCAAAACUAUUUAAUUUAAAUAUACUAGAUCUUUUAGCAAAAUCUAAAUAAUUGUAUUAACACAUGCAUCAUUAAACAAAUGAAUCAAAACAUAAGUGAAAACAUACCUUUUGAACAACUUUGUUUGGGGAUGUCUCCAACUAUUUCGGGUUUAGCGAAAUAACUUUUCUUUGUUUGUCUUGAACUUGUGCUUCUUCCGGCUAAUCCGGUCCAUGAUUAGAGUCCCCUUUCUAACGCUUGAUUGCACUAGAGAUCAAGUGUCGUUUUUUCGUCAAGAUGGUCGUAACAAAUAAUUGACAAAGAGAUGAAUUUCUCUUGAUGGAAGAAAUAGGAAGAUCUCUAUCUUCUUGAGAGGGGGAGACAACUUGAAAGAAAAUACUUAUAUCUUCACCCACCUCACUUCUCUCUCACUUCUACACUCUUGGCCACACUUUCCAAGGAUAACCACAUCUCUUUAUAUAGUUCAUUAGUUCUCUAUGGAAGAUGAAGAGAUGAGUGUCUCUUCAUCUAUCGAAGGAAGAUGAAGAAACAUGUGUCUCUUCACCUCUCCAAUGAAUACGAAGAGAUGAGUAUCUUUUCAUCUAUCCAAGGAAGAUGAAUAGACAUGUGUCUCUUCACCUCUUCAAGGAAUAUUAAGAGACAUGUGUGGCUAACAAAUUAAACCUAGCCAUUUUUCUUUCUUCCAUCUUGGCAUUGGAUAUUAGAACAUUUCUAAAAUCCAAUAAUGUGAUUCCAUCAUGAUCAUGAUAACAUUUGAUCAUAUCAAAUUUCAAUUGUCAAUUCACUAUUCGAUCACAUCAAACUUUAUUCGCCAAAUUCAAUUACUUGAGUUUGACUUUCUCAAUGGAAAAUAGGGAAACCAAUACUUGUGUGAUCGGUUCAGGGAUACAGCUAGUCGUGGGUUCACAAUUCUUUAUGAUUCAGGAUGGUACUCGUUCUUUAUACGGGCAUACCCUUAAUAGCCCCAUCCUAUGAUCAACUACUUGAUUAUAGGAUGUCAGAACUAAUUCUAAUUAGCACCCAACGAAUCAUGGUGAGAGCGUCUAGCAGCACCGCCCCAUGACUCCCUAGGUAUCACUGGCUAGUGCUUGUAAGAACCAGUCGAUUAUGGUUAAUGUACAAUCUGGUCCCUUCAUCUCAUAUAUUCUCGGUCGUAUCUACAACACAUCGAGGGUUGUAUAUUGAUUCGACAACCAUAUGAUGUAUCUUAUAAUGACAUCGCAUGUGCAACUAGGAAACUCAUUUCCUAAAGUACAUCUUACAGCUUUGAUCAGAGACUUUAUACACUAUAGAAUAAUACAUUACAUAGGAUAUCCACACCCAUGAGUGUGUGGUGAAUCCCAGACUACAAUACACUGACUCUUAUAUGUUUCGUUACUACAUCCAAUCUCAUCACCUGAUGACCCUAAUGGAGUCAGUAAAUGAGUUAAAGUAUAGCCCUAGAGUAUCAGUAUUGUCUUGGGUCAUAAAGACUAUUAAUAUAAAAUCACAAUUAAAGACUUAUCCACUCAAUAAAUAAUAACCACUUGAAAAGUCUGUGUGAGGUGAGUGUCGAGCUAAGCGGCGAAUGUGGAGAGUGUCGACCGAGCGGCGAAUGAGGUGAGUGUUGAAUAGAGCAGCGAGUGUGGCGAGUGCCAACCGAGCGACGAGUGAGGCGGUGCGGAACAGAGCAAUAAGUGUGGCGAUUGUUGAUCGAGCUACGAGUGAGGCAAGUGUUGAUCGAGCGGUGAGUGAGGCGGGUGCCGAGUUGAGUGACGAAUAAGGCAAGUGCCGACCGAGUAGCGAGUAAGGUGGGUGCUGAGUUGAGCGGCGAAUGAGGCCAGUGUCGACCGAGCGGUGAAUGAGGCGGGUGUCGACCGAGUGGCAAGUGAUGCGGGUGUCGAGUUAAGAGGCAAAUGAGUCCAGUGCCGACCGAGCGGUGAAUUUGUGUGGGAACCACACUUAUAACCCAGUCGACGUUAGAGUCUGGGAAAUUUGAUUAGGGUGUGUGAGUAACCACACUUAUAACUCGAUUUUAGAGAUACGAGAAUCUGGAGAAUGUUGUCUAUCGGAUGGUCGUUGGGACGUGUGGGGAGCCACACUUAUAACUCGCAACGGAUGCGAGAGUUUGGGAAUUUUAUCGAUCGGAUGGUCGUUGGACACAUGGAAAUAUGCUUAUAACUUAGUUAGGACCAAGAGUAUGUAGUUUUCAUCUGAAUAGAGGGGCGUUGGGCAUGUGGAAACAUGCUUAUAACUUGGUCAGGGACGAGUAUGGAUAUUUCACUAGGGUGUAUGAGGCACCAUACUUAUACCUCGGUCUUAAAGACGCGAGAGUCUGGGGAUUUUUGUCAACCGGAUGAUCGUUGGAGCAUAUGGGGAACUACACUUAUAACUUACAAUGAAUGCGAGAGUCUGGGAAUUUUGCUGAUCGGAUGGUCGUUGGGCACGUGGGAACACACUUAUAACUUGGUUAAUGACCAAAAGUCUGGAUUUUUAUCCAACCGGAUUGUCGUUGGGCACGUGGAAACACGCUUAUAACUUAGCCAGGGAUUAACAGUCUGGAGUUUUUAUCUGACCGAAGGGUCGUUGGGCAAACACGCUUAUAACUUGGUCAAGGACCAAGAGUCUAGAGAUUUUACUAGAGCGUAUAGGGAACCACACUUAUAACUCAGUCUUAGAGAUGCGAGAGUCGAGAUUUUUACCGAUUGGAUGGUCGUUGGACAUGUGGGAAUACACUUAUAACUUGGUCAGGGACCAAGAGUAUGGAGUUUUUAUCCGAUCAGAGGGUCGUUGGGGCGUGUGGGGAACCACACUUAUAACUUGGUCAAGGACCAAGAACUAAGAGUCUGGGGCUUUUUAUUCACAAGGCUGAGGAUGCAUAUUUUUGCACUUUUCACUAAGAGAUGGAAAGAGUAUAUUUUACAACUCACAUCCUCUUGAGCAAUUGCAAAAAGUAUUUUUAGGUUCUAUAAGGCUGCAAAUAACUUACACUUCAGGGUCUACUCAGCCUUUUACCAUUUGCAUUUUGUAAGUAAUAUGCCCCCGAAGCCAUCUUUUGCACCACUGUGAAGGGGCCCCAUUGGGGCUCUAAUUUGUUGACAUCUCCAACUAACUUGAUCAUCUUCCAAACAAGAUUGUCUUCUUGAAAGGAAUGGAGGAUGACUCGUCGAUCAUAAUUUUGUUGCAUCCUUUAUUUGUAUGCAGUUAGCCGAGCGACUAUCAGAUCACGGGUGUCAUUGAUGAAAUUCAGCUCUAGGAGACGUUAAUCAACAUUAUUUUGAUCAUAGAGCAGCCGCCGAGUGGACUCUUCACCGACUUUGAUCGGGACCAUUGCUUUACUGCCAUAGACUAAAUGAAAGGCAUCAUUCCCGUGCUUUCUCGGGGGGUGGUUCGAUUGACCCACAAUAUGCUGGGGAGUUCUACCUAAUUUCCGCCCACAUGAUCAAGUUUAGUUUUGAGUCCUCUAAUAAUUUCUCGAUUAGUGACUUCUGUCUGGCCAUUGCUUUGUGGGUAUGCAUAGAAGUGAAGACUUGGAGAAUAUCGAAUCCUUCACACCACUCUCUGAUUUUGCGUCCUUGAAACUGUUGCCCAUUAUUUAAGACCGGCUUGUGAGGAAUUCCGAAUCGACACAAGAUGUUGACCCACAAAAAUUUAUUGACUGCUUGCUCUGUGAUCCUAGCUAGGGCUUCUACCUCCAUCCACUUGAAGAAAUAAUCUACUAUAAAUAUGAAUUUCUUCUGAGCAAGGGUAGUCGGGAAAAGACUCAUGAUGUCUAUUCCUCAUUGAUCAAAGGGAUAGGAGACUAGAGGAAUCCGGUAUAUUUUGAUGUUUUUGGCAAGAAGUACAGAUGGCCACCAGCCGAACGACAUCGGCCUACUGGGUGGGCAAAAAUUACCCUACCAAUAUUACUUUUUGGGCUCGUGUCCGACUACCGACAUGACUACUACAACAACCUUGACAAACCUCUUGAAGGAUGUAGUUAACUUCAUCAGGCCUGACGCAUUUUAACGACGACCGAGAGAAAACUCAUUUAUAAAGAUGGUCACCUAUCAAGGUGGACCGAUUGGCUCUUCUUUUGACAUCUUGAGCCAAAGGUCUUCUUGAAGUCCUUGAAGUUGGUGAUCGAACCAGUAGGGAGCCUGGCGAACCACCUUUAUACCGAUCCGAAGAGAAUUGUUAGGAAUACUCGGCACUUGUGACCCGUGGAGUAGGAUUCAUCACAGUUAAAACAAAGGUCCUUAGCUCUCCGUUCUGCCAUCUCGGCGCGAGUCAGACGCUUAAAAAAUGAAACGGGUGGAGUCUCCUUGCGGGUCCUGAUCUUUGCCAAAGGAGGGCCUCCACUAUUGGUGUUGAGCUUGGUUGUGGUUCCGCCCCAAUUCAUGCUCAGCAGCCCCCCACCUUGAUGGAAGCACUGCUUCCGUUCUAGUGCCCUGGUCAUAUUCAUUGCAAGGCCUAGGUUUUCAAGCUUCUGCAGUUCGAUGUCGAUACGGAGAUCUUCGACUAACCUUGCAGUGAAUAAGUCAACUUGUUGUUGUGGUCGGAGGUCGGGGGUCCGAGGUCUGAGCGAGGUGAGAUUAAAAUUGGCGCUGAUAGUCUUCUACAGAGCUUGUCUGCUUCAGAUUUGCUAGCUCUCCCAAGGGUUGUUGCUUAAGGGCGGGCCAAAGCGGAUAUGACAGUGGUCUCUGAAUUGCUUCCAAGUCAUCUCUGACUCUUCUUGCUCUAC